CCCUUAGAUGUUCUGGGCCGCACGCGCGCUACACUGAUGCAUUCAACGAGUCUAAAACCUGGUCUGAUAGGGCUAGGUAAUCUUUUGAAAGUGCAUCGCGAUUGGGAUAGAUGAUUGCAAUUCUUCAUCUUCAACGAGGAAUGCCUAGUAAACGCAAGUCAUCAGCUUGCAUUGAUUACGUCCCUGCCCUUUGUACACACCGCCCGUCGCUCCUACCGAUUGAAUGAUCCGAUGAAUACCAUGGAUUGAGAGUUCGAACAGGUUCUCCUGUUUCAGCUUCUCGAGAGGUGGAGUAAAUCUUAUCAUUUAGAGGAAGGAGAAGUCGUAACA
rnacentral:rRNA from 1 species